rnacentral:rRNA from 1 species
AGUGAACGCGGGCGGGAGGCCUAACACAUGCAAGUCGAGCGUCAGCACAGUAAGAUCUUUCUCUUACGGUUGGCGAGUGGCGUAUGGGUGAGGUAUACAUCGCAAUCUACUUUGUCGUGGGGGAUAACGGAGGGCAACUUACAAUAAGACCGCAUACGACCUACGGGUUAAAUCAGUGGAUCUUCGGACGUUGCGCGAUUGAUCUAGCCGAUGUCGGAUUAGCUAGUUGGUGGGGUAAGGGCCCACCAUUCCGACGAUCCGUAGCUGGUCUGAGAUGAUGAUCCGCCACACUGGAACAGAGACACGGUCCAGACUCCUACGGGAGGCAGCAGUGGGGAAUAUUGGACAAUGGGCGCAAGCCUGAUCCAGCCAUACCGCGUGGGUGGAGAAGGCCUUCGGGUUGUAAAGCCCUUUUGUUGGGAAAGAAAAGCAGCAGGUUAAUACCCCGCUGUUCUGACGGUACCCAAAGAAUAAGCACCGGCUAACUUCGUG